AGCAAACGACAGUGGGGGGGUCCUCUUAAAGGAACAGUACUUUACAGUAUGUAACACGUAACGUGAAGUCAUGUUUUAUAUAUUUCCAGAAAGAGAGAAUGACCCCUUUUGGAAACUGCUACAUUUCUUAUUGUGUUGACUGAGGUGGUAUAGGAAGGAGGAGUGACUUUAACAAGGUCGCAGCAGUGAGUCAGCAGUACUGGGACCUCCUGGCUCCUAUUCCUUUUGUUCUAUCUACCAGACUACACUGCAUCCCAUGCAAUACAAAAGAAAACAGCUUUUAUUGACAAUCACACUUAAAGGACUCACUUCACUUUGAUGCUGGACCAUUUUCCCUGCUGCAAACAAUAAGUCCCGUCCCCCCCCCCCCCAUUAUGUGGGGUCAGGAUCAGAUCAAGAUAUAGGUUAAAAUGUGUGUGUUGAACCGUGAAGUACCCACCAUCAACUCGGACCCCUCUCAUCUGCGUUCUCUGCAUCUUCUUUAGCAAGGACAAGGAGUCUGCCACCAGGAUUUUCUUACAGCCCUCUCGCAGCAG